rnacentral:rRNA from 1 species
GGUUAAGCGACUAAGCGUACACGGUGGAUGCCCUGGCAGUCAGAGGCGAUGAAGGACGUGCUAAUCUGCGAAAAGCGCCGGCGAGGUGAUAUGAACCUUUGACCCGGCGAUGUCCGAAUGGGGAAACCCAGUGUGAUUCGUCACACUAUCGUUAACUGAAUACAUAGGUUAACGAGGCGAACCGGGGGAACUGAAACAUCUAAGUACCCCGAGGAAAAGAAAUCAACCGAGAUUCCCCCAGUAGCGGCGAGCGAACGGGGAGCAGCCCGGAGUCUGAAUCAGCUUGUGUGUUAGUGGAACGGUCUGGAAAGUCCGACGGUACAGGGUGAUAGUCCCGUACACGAAAAUGCACAGGUUGUGAACUCGAAGAGUAGGGCGGGACACGUGGUAUCCUGUCUGAAUAUGGGGGGACCAUCCUCCAAGGCUAAAUACUCCUGACUGACCGAUAGUGAACCAGUACCGUGAGGGAAAGGCGAAAAGAACCCCGGCGAGGGGAGUGAAAAAGAACCUGAAACCGUGUACGUACAAGCAGUGGGAGCCUACUUGUUAGGUGACUGCGUACCUUUUGUAUAAUGGGUCAGCGACUUAUAUUCUGUAGCAAGGUUAACCGAAUAGGGGAGCCGAAGGGAAACCGAGUCUUAACUGGGCGUUAAGUUGCAGGGUAUAGACCCGAAACCCGGUGAUCUAGCCAUGGGCAGGUUGAAGGUUGGGUAACACUAACUGGAGGACCGAACCGACUAAUGUUGAAAAAUUAGCGGAUGACCUGUGGCUGGGGGUGAAAGGCCAAUCAAACCGGGAGAUAGCUGGUUCUCCCCGAAAGCUAUUUAGGUAGCGCCUCGUGAACUCAUCUUCGGGGGUAGAGCACUGUUUCGGCUAGGGGGCCAUCCCGGCUUACCAACCCGAUGCAAACUACGAAUACCGAAGAAUGUUAUCACGGGAGACACACGGCGGGUGCUAACGUCCGUCGUGAAGAGGGAAACAACCCAGACCGCCAGCUAAGGUCCCAAAGUCAUGGUUAAGUGGGAAACGAUGUGGGAAGGCACAGACAGCCAGGAUGUUGGCUUAGAAGCAGCCAUCAUUUAAAGAAAGCGUAAUAGCUCACUGGUCGAGUCGGCCUGCGCGGAAGAUGUAACGGGGCUAAACCAUGCACCGAAGCUGCGGCAGCGACGCUUAUGCGUUGUUGGGUAGGGGAGCGUUCUGUAAGCCGUUGAAGGUGGCCUGUGAGGGUUGCUGGAGGUAUCAGAAGUGCGAAUGCUGACAUAAGUAACGAUAAAGCGGGUGAAAAGCCCGCUCGCCGGAAGACCAAGGGUUCCUGUCCAACGUUAAUCGGGGCAGGGUGAGUCGACCCCUAAGGCGAGGCCGAAAGGCGUAGUCGAUGGGAAACAGGUUAAUAUUCCUGUACUUGGUGUUACUGCGAAGGGGGGACGGAGAAGGCUAUGUUAGCCGGGCGACGGUUGUCCCGGUUUAAGCAUGUAGGCGGAGGUUCCAGGUAAAUCCGGUACCUUUUUAACGCUGAGGUGUGAUGACGAGGCACUACGGUGCUGAAGUAACAAAUGCCCUGCUUCCAGGAAAAGCCUCUAAGCAUCAGGUAACACGAAAUCGUACCCCAAACCGACACAGGUGGUCAGGUAGAGAAUACCAAGGCGCUUGAGAGAACUCGGGUGAAGGAACUAGGCAAAAUGGUGCCGUAACUUCGGGAGAAGGCACGCUGAUAUGUAGGUGAAGCCCCUGCGGGUGGAGCUGAAAUCAGUCGAAGAUACCAGCUGGCUGCAACUGUUUAUUAAAAACACAGCACUGUGCAAACACGAAAGUGGACGUAUACGGUGUGACGCCUGCCCGGUGCCGGAAGGUUAAUUGAUGGGGUUAGCGGCAACGCGAAGCUCUUGAUCGAAGCCCCGGUAAACGGCGGCCGUAACUAUAACGGUCCUAAGGUAGCGAAAUUCCUUGUCGGGUAAGUUCCGACCUGCACGAAUGGCGUAAUGAUGGCCAGGCUGUCUCCACCCGAGACUCAGUGAAAUUGAACUCGCUGUGAAGAUGCAGUGUACCCGCGGCAAGACGGAAAGACCCCGUGAACCUUUACUAUAGCUUGACACUGAACACUGGUCCUUGAUGUGUAGGAUAGGUGGGAGGCUUUGAAGCGUGGACGCCAGUCUGCGUGGAGCCGACCUUGAAAUACCACCCUUUAAUGGCUGGUGUUCUAACGUAGACCCGUAAUCCGGGUUGCGGACAGUGUCUGGUGGGUAGUUUGACUGGGGCGGUCUCCUCCCAAAGAGUAACGGAGGAGCACGAAGGUUAGCUAAUCCUGGUCGGACAUCAGGAGGUUAGUGCAAUGGCAUAAGCUAGCUUGACUGCGAGAGUGACGGCUCGAGCAGGUGCGAAAGCAGGUCAUAGUGAUCCGGUGGUUCUGAAUGGAAGGGCCAUCGCUCAACGGAUAAAAGGUACUCCGGGGAUAACAGGCUGAUACCGCCCAAGAGUUCAUAUCGACGGCGGUGUUUGGCACCUCGAUGUCGGCUCAUCACAUCCUGGGGCUGAAGUAGGUCCCAAGGGUAUGGCUGUUCGCCAUUUAAAGUGGUACGCGAGCUGGGUUUAGAACGUCGUGAGACAGUUCGGUCCCUAUCUGCCGUGGGCGCUGGAGAAUUGAGGGGGGCUGCUCCUAGUACGAGAGGACCGGAGUGGACGCAUCACUGGUGUUCGGGUUGUCAUGCCAAUGGCACUGCCCGGUAGCUAAAUGCGGAAGAGAUAAGUGCUGAAAGCAUCUAAGCACGAAACUUGCCCCGAGAUGAGUUCUCCCUGAGACUAUAAGUCUCCUGAAGGAACGUUGAAGACGACGACGUUGAUAGGUCGGGUGUGUAAGCGCAGCGAUGCGUUGAGCUAACCGAUACUAAUGAACCGUGAGGCUUAACCUU